CAGCCGCCGCGGUAAUACGGAGGGGGCUAGCGUUGUUCGGAAUUACUGGGCGUAAAGCGCACGUAGGCGGCUUGGUAAGUUAGAGGUGAAAGCCCGGAGCUCAACUCCGGAAUUGCCUUUAAGACUGCCGAGCUAGUAGGUGAGAGAGGUAAGUGGAAUUCCGAGUGUAGAGGUGAAAUUCGUAGAUAUUCGGAAGAACACCAGUGGCGAAGGCGGCUCACUGGCCCGAUACUGACGCUGAGGUGCGAAAGCGUGGGGAGCAAACAGGAUUAGAUACCCGGGUAGUCCCUGUCUCUUAUAC
rnacentral:rRNA from 1 species